AUGCUGGCCCCAGGCGAAGAGCACAAGACGGCCUUCUCAACACACCAGGGCCACUUCGAGUUCAAGGUUCUGUCCUUUGGGCUAGCCGGGGCUCCACCCACGUUCAUUGAAGGACUGACUACUACUCUCAAGCCGGUGAUACGCAUUUGUGUGCUCUGUUUCUUCGAUGACAUCUUGAUCUUUAGUGCCACUUUGGAGGAACACAAGUGUCAUGUGCAACAAGUGCUGGAACUACUUCGCAAAGACCACUGGAAAGUUAAGCUCGGCAAAUGUGCGUUAGGACAGAGCAAAGUUUCUUAUCUAGGCCACGUCAUCAGCGCACAAGGUGUGUCAACAGACCCGACCAAGAUAGCAGCAGUGGCCAACUGGUCCCCUCCACAAGAUGUCAAGGGAGUCAGGAGUUUUUUGGGACUUGCGGGCUACUACCGUCGUUUUGUGUGCAACUUUGGAGUGAUUGCUCGAUCGCUCUUUAACUUGCUGAAGAAGGGCGUCCCAUUCCUCUGGACAUCAAUCACAGAAACUGCUUUUCAGGUUCUCAAGCAACAACUCAUCACCACACCGGUUCUGGCCUUGCCAAAUUUUGAUCAACCAUUCACAGUGGAGGCUGAUGCAUGCGGCCGUGGCAUAGGGCCAAUUCUGUAG
rnacentral:rRNA from 1 species